rnacentral:snoRNA from 13 species
UGCUCUGAUGAAAUCGCUAAUAGGAAGUGCCGUCAGAAGCGAUAACUGACGAUAACUAUUACUGUCUGACU